UGCCCUAGUAACGGCGAGUGAAGCGGCAACAGCUCAAAUUUGAAAUCUGGCUCCUUCGGGGUCCGAGUUGUAAUUUGUAGAGGGUGCUUUGGAGUUGACUGUGGUCUAAGUUCCUUGGAACAGGACGUCGCAGAGGGUGAGAAUCCCGUAUGUGGCCGCCAGUCUUCGCCGUGUAAAGCCCCUUCGACGAGUCGAGUUGUUUGGGAAUGCAGCUCUAAAUGGGAGGUAAAUUUCUUCUAAAGCUAAAUAUUGGCCAGAGACCGAUAGCGCACAAGUAGAGUGAUCGAAAGAUGAAAAGCACUUUGGAAAGAGAGUCAAAAAGCACGUGAAAUUGUUGAAAGGGAAGCGCUUGCAGCCAGACUUGCCUGUAGUUGCUCAUCCGGGCUUUUGCCCGGUGCACUCUUCUAUGGGCAGGCCAGCAUCAGUCGCGGCGGUUGGAUAAAUGCCUGGUAAAUGUACCUCUCCUCGGGGAGGACUUAUAGUCCAGGCGGCAUACAACCAGCUGCGAUUGAGGUCCGCGCAUCUGCUAGGAUGCUGGCGUAAUGGCUGUAAGCGG
rnacentral:rRNA from 1 species